UACAGGGGGUGCAAACGUUGCUCGGAAUUAUUGGGCGUAAAGCGCGCGUAGGCGGCUACCUAAGUCGGAUGUGAAAGCCCCUGGCUUAACUGGGGAAGUGCACCCGAAACUGGGUAGCUAGAGUGCAAAAGAGGGUCGCGGAAUUCCCGGUGUAGAGGUGAAAUUCGUAGAUAUCGGGAGGAACACCGGCGGCGAAGGCGGCGACCUGGGUUGACACUGACGCUGAGGCGCGAAAGCGUGGGGAGCAAACGGG
rnacentral:rRNA from 1 species